rnacentral:SRP_RNA from 1 species
CCGUACUAGAUGGGGAGUUAGCGGUGCCCUGUAACCUGCAAUCCGCUACAGCAGGAUCGACGUCCACCCGAGGGGUGUGAUUUUAGGGUUCUGGCCUUAUUAAGUAGUGUUGACGGCUGGGUCCUGUGCAAUACGCACCUAUGAACCGUGUCAGGUCCGGAAGGAAGCAGCACUAAGUAGACCCGCGUAUGUGCCACGGGAGUGCCUGGCUCGAGCUGGCUGGUAAGAUACCGCCUGGGAGAUCAUUUCAGAGGUGGAUGUAC